AAGGCGAGCAAACUUUAAUCAACCGUCAGUGCGAAAAAAGUCUUUCACGCAAUAACACGCAAAACUUCACGCGAAAAAUGAUGAUCCGCUACUUUUUGAUUUCGUCGGCGCUGAUUUUUCUGCUGGUCAACGCUGCAACCUGGUCGACCUACUCUCCGCCAGAGCAGGAUAUUUGCCUGUUGAAACCGUUGUCGCAGAACCUUCAAGCAUGCCGUGCAGGAUUUCGCAUGUUCACGUUCAACGCGGCCAGAGGUAGAUGCGAGAAAUAUAUCUAUGGAGGAUGCUUCGGCACCAAAAACCUAUUUCGGACUCAAGCCGAGUGCGAAAACGCCUGCAAACAUCUUAUUCAAAGAAGAACAACAAAACGGACAGGAAAAUAAGCAGUACAUAUACUGCCUUGGAUACUGAGACUUACAAAGUCAUUAGAAUUUACCAUGUGAAAACCUGCAAAUCACUGUUAAAAAAGCUUUGAAAUUAAAUCAAAACUCGUGAAAUUUCCUGAAAAAUUUAUCAAUCACUGAAAUAUUGUUCUCUUCACAUUAAAGAAUAAAAAUCUUGCAACUAAUUUCAGAAAAAUGUUUAAACAAUUACGUAAAUAAAUUAUGGUCUAAUGAGUUUAUACAAUAUGUUUUAGUUUAAAAUCAUGUUUAUUAAUGUAUCACCGAGCAUUCUCUUCCCAAAUACAUCAUCCAUCAAUCAAUAUUAUAAAUUACAUUGAUUACAAGAGAGAUAAAUUUUAUUAAAGAUUUAUUAUUAUUGUUGUUUAUUUGUCCAAAUUGUUACAUCACAUUGUUUACAUACAGAUUGUUGAAAACAUUUAUUUUGAAAAAAGAAAUUGUUGGACAAAACGGCACCACCACUAGCAAAAAUUUUGCUAAAACUUCCGAGGCCAAAAAGACCCCAUCCGCCGCAGUGAGCCUCGGUUGACUAAGUUUUGUUCUUUAACUGGCACUGAUUUAUAAAAAAAAAAUUGUAUAAUUUUAUUUAAAUUAAUGUUCCUUACUUAUAAAAAUGAGUCAGUAGUGUAAAGGUGAAAUUUGGAUAAAAAGCAA